CCCCUGAAAUGUCCUUAUGUGAUUAGAGUUCUGGGAGCUUCCUUAUUGAACUUUCAACCUGCCUCUGACUCUGUCCUGUUUUCAGAACCCCAACAAGCACAUCUCCCAGACGGAGGUGAUCAUCCGGUUUGCGUUCCAGACGUCCAUCACGGUGCUGUGCAUUGCCUGCCCCUGCUCCCUGGGGCUGGCCACGCCCACGGCUGUCAUGGUGGGCACCGGGGUGGCCGCGCAGAACGGCAUCCUCAUCAAGGGAGGCAAGCCCCUGGAGAUGGCGCACAAGAUAAAGACUGUGAUGUUUGACAAGACUGGCACCAUUACCCAUGGCGUCCCCAGGGUCAUGCGGGUGCUCCUGCUGGGGGAUGUGGCCACACUGCCCCUCAGGAAGGUUCUGGCUGUGGUGGGGACUGCGGAGGCCAGCAGUGAACACCCCUUGGGCGUGGCAGUCACCAAAUACUGUAAAGAG
rnacentral:sRNA from 1 species